UACGGAGGGUGCGAGCGUUGUCCGGAAUCACUGGGCGUAAAGGGCGCGUAGGCGGCCUGAUAAGUAGGGGGGUGAAAUCCUGCGGCUUAACCGCAGGGCUGCCUUCUAAACUGUCAGGCUGGAGCACAGUAGAGGCAGGUGGAAUUCCCGGUGUAGCGGUGAAAUGCGCAGAUAUCGGGAGGAACACCAAUGGCGAAGGCAGCUCGCUGGGACGUUACUGACGCUGAGACGCGAAAAGCGUGGGGAGCAAACAGG
rnacentral:rRNA from 1 species